GGGAAGAUGUUGUCCUACGUUCCUGCAAGCUCUAAAUUAUACAGCGAAAGUGUGGACCUUGGACAUUUUGACAAAAAGGUCUCAGUUUUCCUAGGGAAUUUUACCUAGAUCUGGCUUUUGCCCCCUUUACUGGAUACCUUGGUAUUAUACUUAAUUACUUGUGUAUAUCAGAAUUCUCUUGCUCAGAGACUGACUAUAAAGUUCCUUGAAAACAGGGACUGUGGGGGCAGCUGGGCAGCUCAGUGGAUUGAGAGUCAGUCCUUGAGAUGGGAGGUCCUAGGUUCAAAUCUGGCCUCAGAUACUUCCGAGCUGUGUAAUCCUGGGCAAGUCACUUAACCCCCAUUGUCUAGCCCUUACCACUCCUUUGCCUUGGAAACCAUACACAGUAUUAAUUCCAAGAUGGAAGGUGAGGAUUUUUUAAAAGUACUAUUUUAACUUGAAAAAAUCAUCUCUCUCUUUCUUACUCUCUUCUCCGUCUCUGUCUUUCUGUCUCUGCAUCUCCCUCUCUUUCUUUCUGUAUGUCUGUCUUUGUCUCUCUGCCUCUUUUCUAUUUGUUCUCUCUGUCUCUGUCUCUCUGUGUCUCUGUUUCUGUCUCUUUUUUGUCUGUUCUUUCUGUCUCUCAGUAUCUUCUCUGUUCUCCUUUCUCUCUGUUUUUGUCUCUUUUCUGUGUCCGUUUCUCUUUUCUGUCUGUUAUCUCUGUCUCUCUCUGUCUUUUUCUCUGUCUCUUUUGUUUGUUCCCCUCUCUCCCCCAUCUGUCUCUCCCUGUCUAUCUCUCUAUCUCUGUCUCUAUGCCUCUCUAUGUCUCUAUCUCUGUCUUUUUUCUGUUUGUUCUCUUCUCUGUGUCUCUCUCUGUUGCUCUCAGUCUCUGUCUCUUUUCUGUCUAUUCUCUUUCUUGGUCUCUUUUCUGUUGGUUCUCCUCUCUCAGUCUCUUUGUCUUUUUCUGUCUCAGUCUCUGUCUCUUUUCUGUCUAUUCUUUCUCUCUCUGUCUCUUUGUCUGUCCAUCUCUCUGUCUCUGUGUCUGUCUCUUUUCUGUUUGUUCUACUCUCUGUCUCUUUUGUUUGAUCUCCCUUCUCCCCCCAAUCAGUCUUGCUCUCUGUCUGUCACUCUAUCUCGGUCUCUCUAUGUCUCUAUCUCUGUCUUUCUUUAUGUCUCCUUUCUGUUUGUUCUCCUCUCUCUGAUUCUGUCACUCUGUUUCUUUCUCAAGUCUCUGUCUCUCUCUGUCUCUUCUCUCUCUCUCUGUCUGUCUCUUUAUCUGCCUCUUUUCAGUUUGUUUUCCUUUCUCUCCUCCUCUAUCUCUUGUCUGUUUCCUCUCUCUAUAGCUCUGUCUCUUUCUGUCUCUAUCUCUGUCUCUCUUUAUGUCUCUUUUCUGUUUGUCUCUGUCUCUGUCACUCUGCCUCUGUCUCUCUGUUUCUCUCUCAGUCUCUGUCUCUCUCUCUUUUCUAUCUGGUCUCUAUGAAUCUCUAUUUCUGUCUGUUUCUCGGUCUUUUUUGUUUAAAGCCUCACCUUGCAUCUUGGAAUUAAUACUAUGUAUGGUUUCCAAGGCAGAAGAGUGGUAAGGGCUAGACAAUGGGGAUUAAGUGACUUGCCCAGGGUCACACAGCUGGGAAGUGUCUGAGGCCAGAUUUGGACCUAGGACCUCCCACCUCUAGGCCUGGCUCUCAAUCCACUGAGAUACCCUGUUUCUCUGUCUUUUCUGUUUGUUCUCUUCUCUCUGUCUCUGUCUCUCUCUAUAUCUCUUUUCUAUUUGUUGUCUCUCUAUUUCUCUUUGUCUCUUUUCUGUCUAUUCUCUCUCUCUCUCUUUGUCUUUGUGUCUCUGCCUCAGUCUCUCUCUUUCCCUUUUCUGUCUCUUUUCGCUCUAUUCUCUGUGUCUCUCUUUGUGUGUCUCUCUUUUCUGUUUGUUCUCCUUUCCCUCUGUCUCUCUUCUGUUUCUUCCUCUCUCUCUGUCUCUGUGUCUCUUUUCUGUCUGUUCUCCUCUCUGUCUUUAUCUCUGUCUCUGUCUCUUUCUCUCUGUCUUCUUACCUCCCCCCACUGAUGUGUAACAGAAUCAUCUUGAUAAUAUAGUCUAGGCAAAAUCAAAACCCACGCAUUGGUCAGAUGAACAAUGAACCCUUAAUAAUAAUAUUAGCUGGCAAUUAUAUUACAUUUCAAGAUUUUCCCAAUGCUUAUAUGUACUCUCUC
ensembl:lncRNA